UACAGAGGUGGCAAGCGUUGUUCGGAAUUACUGGGCGUAAAGGGCGCGUAGGCGGUUCGUUAAGUCCUGUGUGAAAUCCCCCGGCUCAACUGGGGAACUGCACAGGAAACUAGCGGGCUUGAGUUCGGGAGAGGGAAGCGGAAUUCCGGGUGUAGCGGUGAAAUGCGUAGAUAUCCAGAGGAACACCGGUGGCGAAGGCGGCUUCCUGGACCGACACUGACGCUGAGGCGCGAAAGCUAGGGGAGCAAACAGG
rnacentral:rRNA from 1 species